rnacentral:rRNA from 1 species
ACGCUAGCUACAGGCUUAACACAUGCAAGUCGAGGGGAAACGGCAUUUAGUGCUUGCACUGAAUGGACGUCGACCGGCGCACGGGUGACUAACGCGUAUCCAACCUUCCCAUUACUUUGGGAUAACCUGCCGAAAGGCAGACUAAUACCUCAUAGUCUUCGAUGACGGCAUCAGAUUUGAAGUAAAGAUUUAUCGGUAAUGGAUGGGGAUGCGUCUGAUUAGCUUGUUGGCGGGGUAACGGCCCACCAAGGCAACGAUCAGUAGGGGUUCUGAGAGGAAGGUCCCCCACAUUGGAACUGAGACACGGUCCAAACUCCUACGGGAGGCAGCAGUGAGGAAUAUUGGUCAAUGGACGUAAGUCUGAACCAGCCAAGUAGCGUGCAGGAUGACGGCCCUAUGGGUUGUAAACUGCUUUUGUAUGGGGAUAAAGUCAAUCACGUGUGAUUGUUUGCAGGUACCAUACGAAUAAGGACCGGCUAAUUCCGUGCCAGCAGCCGCGGUAAUACGGAAGGUUCGGGCGUUAUCCGGAUUUAUUGGACUUAAAGGGAGCGUAGGCCGGAGAUUAAGUGUGUUGUGAAAUGUAGACGCUCAACGUCUGAAUUGCAGCGCAUACUGGUUUCCUUGAGUACGCACAACGUUGGCGGAAUUCGUCGUGUAGCGGUGAAAUGCUUAGAUAUGACGAAGAACUCCGAUUGCGAAGGCAGCUGACGGGAGCGCAACUGACGCUGAAGCUCGAAGGUGCGGGUAUCGAACAGGAUUAGAUACCCUGGUAGUCCGCACAGUAAACGAUGGAUGCCCGCUGUUGGUACCUAGUAUCAGCGGCUAAGCGAAAGCAUUAAGCAUCCCACCUGGGGAGUACGCCGGCAACGGUGAAACUCAAAGGAAUUGACGGGGGCCCGCACAAGCGG